GCUCCAUUCUCUUCUCUCAUCUCCGAUAACAGAGAAGUAGAAGAGAACCCCGUCACACAGAACCAGUCAAGUCCUCUACCUCCGAAAGAGAAAUGGCUUCUCACAUUGUUGGAUACCCUCGUAUGGGCCCCAAGAGAGAGCUCAAGUUUGCCUUGGAAUCUUUCUGGGAUGGCAAGAGCAAUGCCGAAGAUUUGCAAAAGGUGUCUGCUGAUCUCAGGUGUUCCAUCUGGAAGCAGAUGUCUGAUGCCGGGAUCAAGCACAUUCCCAGCAACACCUUCUCUCACUAUGAUCAGGUGCUUGACACCACCGCAUUGCUAGGGGCUGUUCCACCAAGAUAUGGUUGGAAUGGUGGUGAGAUUGGAUUUGACACUUACUUCUCCAUGGCCAGAGGAAAUGCCUCUGUUCCUGCUAUGGAAAUGACCAAGUGGUUCGACACCAACUACCAUUUCAUUGUCCCUGAGUUGGGUCCUGACAUCAAAUUCUCAUAUGCUUCUCACAAGGCCGUUGAGGAAUACAAGGAGGCUAAAGCGCUUGGAGUGGAUACAGUCCCGGUACUUGUCGGCCCAGUGUCCUACUUGUUGCUGUCCAAACCAGCAAAGGGUGUUGAAAAGACAUUUUCGCUUCUCUCUCUUCUAGGAAAGAUCAUUCCUAUUUACAAGGAGGUUAUAUCUGAGCUCAAGGCAGCUGGAGCUUCAUGGAUUCAGUUUGAUGAGCCCACACUUGUCAUGGAUCUUGAUUCUCACAAGUUGAACGCAUUUACUGAUACUUACUCUCAGUUAGAGUCAACUCUGUCCGGCUUGAAUGUUCUUAUUGAGACUUACUUUGCUGAUGUACCUGCUGAGGCAUUCAAGACUCUUACUUCUUUGAAGGGUGUCACUGCCUAUGGUUUUGAUUUAGUUCGUGGUACUAAGACCCUUGACUUGAUUAAGAGUGACUUCCCUAAAGGCAAGUACCUCUUUGCUGGAUUGGUUGAUGGAAGGAACAUUUGGGCAAAUGAUCUUUCUGCUUCCCUCAGUACAUUGCAGGCUCUUGAAGGCAUUGUUGGCAAAGACCACCUUGUCGUCUCUACCUCCUGCUCUCUUCUUCACACUGCUGUUGAUCUUGUUAAUGAAACUAAGCUGGACAAUGAAAUCAAAUCGUGGCUUGCCUUUGCUGCCCAGAAAAUUGUUGAAGUUAAUGCUUUGGCAAAGGCAUUGGCCGGUCAAAAGGAUGAGGCAUUUUUCUCAAGCAAUGCUGCAGCUCAGGCUUCAAGGAAGUCGUCCCCAAGGGUGACCAAUGAGUCUGUCCAAAAGGCUGCUGCUGCUUUGAAGGGUUCUGACCACCGUCGUGCUACUAAUGUAAGUGCCAGACUUGAUGCUCAACAGAAGAAGCUUAAUCUUCCAGUUCUCCCAACUACCACCAUUGGAUCAUUCCCUCAGACCAUUGAACUCAGAAGAGUCCGCCGUGAAUACAAGGCCAAAAAGAUUUCUGAGGAGGAGUAUGUGAAGGCCAUUAAGGAGGAAAUUAGCAAAGUUGUUAAGCUUCAGGAGGAGCUUGACAUUGAUGUCCUUGUUCAUGGGGAGCCUGAGAGAAACGACAUGGUUGAGUACUUUGGAGAGCAAUUAUCAGGGUUUGCCUUUACUGUCAAUGGGUGGGUGCAAUCUUAUGGAUCUCGAUGUGUGAAACCACCAAUCAUCUAUGGUGAUGUGAGCCGCCCAAAGCCAAUGACUGUAUUCUGGUCAUCUACUGCUCAGAGCAUGACUGCUCGCCCAAUGAAGGGAAUGCUUACAGGCCCUGUUACGAUCCUCAACUGGUCCUUUGUUAGAAAUGACCAGCCCAGGUCUGAGACUACGUACCAGAUUGCUUUGGCCAUCAAGGAUGAAGUGGAGGAUCUUGAGAAAGCCGGUAUCAAUGUUAUUCAAAUUGAUGAGGCUGCAUUGAGAGAAGGGUUGCCUCUCAGGAAGUCUGAGCAAGCUCACUACUUGGACUGGGCUGUGCACUCAUUCAGGAUCACUAACGUUGGUGUCCAGGACACUACUCAGAUUCACACUCACAUGUGCUAUCCAACUUCAACGAUAUCAUCCACUCAAUCAUCGACAUGGAUGCUGAUGUGAUCACCAUUGAGAAUUCUCGCUCUGAUGAGAAGCUCCUGUCAGUCUUCCGAGAGGGAGUGAAGUAUGGUGCUGGUAUUGGUCCUGGUGUUUAUGACAUCCACUCUCCAAGAAUACCAUCAACUGAGGAGAUUGCUGACCGGAUUAACAAGAUGCUAGCGGUCCUCGAGACAAAUAUCUUGUGGGUCAACCCUGACUGUGGGCUAAAGACUCGCAAGUACGCUGAGGUGAAACCAGCUCUUAGUGCUAUGGUUGCUGCUGCCAAGCAACUCCGCACUCAGCUUGCCAGUGCUAAAUGAAGCAUUUGAUGGAAGCGGGGCUUCAAAAGAAUUCAAGGAUUUAAUGCAUCUUACUUGGAUUUUACGGGUCAUGUUUGAUUGUUUAAUAACUGUGUGAUGAAAUAUCUUAUUAGGCUUUUAAUGUCCUCCUAUGGGCACUUUUUGUUUUGUUUUUUUUUCCUUGUUAUAUUUUGUAUUUUUGAGGCUCAGCCUCCUAUCAAUUUCAAAGGGGCAUCAAACUGCUUUGCUUGGUGUAUACCGUGUUCAAUCAAGAAAUAUCAAUUGCAAUG